rnacentral:snoRNA from 1 species
AAUAAUGAUGAAGUUUAAUCACAUCACUGACCUGUUUAGAACAGAAGUGGCCCGCAAGGCUGCUUUUAAGAUUAUUCAUCGGUCUACUACUCUGAAAUGGCUACAUCGUUCUGAUGUGUUGUUUUUUUGUAGGACGCCACUUUUAUGAAUAUCUUUUAAUGUAAUGAGUGGUCGGUACCUUUUUUGUCAUAGUUACACUGAUA